rnacentral:rRNA from 1 species
GGAGUUAGCCGGUGCUUCUUCUGUGAGUGAUGUCCUUCCUGCCGGUUAUUGACCCGCAGGCCUUCUUCCUCACUGAAAGUGCUUUACAACCCGAAGGCCUUCUUCACACACGCGGCAUGGCUGGAUCAGGGUUGCCCCCAUUGUCCAAUAUUCCCCACUGCUGCCUCCCGUAGGAGUCUGGGCCGUGUCUCAGUCCCAGUGUGGCUGAUCAUCCUCUCAGACCAGCUACGGAUCGUCGCCUUGGUGAGCCGUUACCUCACCAACCAGCUAAUCCGACAUAGGCUCAUCCGAUAGCGCGAGGCCCGAAGGUCCCCCGCUUUCCCCCGUAGGGCGUAUGCGGUAUUAGCCUGGGGUUUCCCCAGGUUAUCCCCCACUACCGGGCAGAUUCCUAUGCAUUACUCACCCGUCCGCCGCUCGCCACCAGGGAGCAAGCUCCCCGUGCUGCCGCUCGACUUGCAUGUGUUAGGCCUGCCGCCAGCGUUCAAUCUGAGCCAUGAUCAAACUCUGA